GGGUGGUAAUGCCGGAUGCUCCAUCACACCGCAUGGUGUGUUGGGAAAGCCUUUGCGGCAUGGGAUGGGGUCGCGUCCUAUCAGCUUGAUGGCGGGGUAACGGCCCACCAUGGCUUCGACGGGUAGCCGGCCUGAGAGGGCGACCGGCCACAUUGGGACUGAGAUACGGCCCAGACUCCUACGGGAGGCAGCAGUGGGGAAUAUUGCACAAUGGGCGCAAGCCUGAUGCAGCGACGCCGCGUGAGGGAUGGAGGCCUUCGGGUUGUAAACCUCUUUUGUUAGGGAGCAAGGCACUUUGUGUUGAGUGUACCUUUCGAAUAAGCACCGGCUAACUACGUGCCAGCAGCCGCGGUAAUACGUAGGGUGCAAGCGUUAUCCGGAAUUAUUGGGCGUAAAGGGCUCGUAGGCGGUUCGUCGCGUCCGGUGUGAAAGUCCAUCGCUUAACGGUGGAUCCGCGCCGGGUACGGGCGGGCUUGAGUGCGGUAGGGGAGACUGGAAUUCCCGGUGUAACGGUGGAAUGUGUAGAUAUCGGGAAGAACACCA
rnacentral:rRNA from 1 species